AUUUGUUUGAAGAGGUGUAUAUGGACCUUCCUCUUGGUUAUAACCUUCUUAAACCUCCCAAACAGGGGGAGUGUCAAUUGGUUUGCAAAUUACACAAGUCUAUAUACGGCCUUAAACAAGCCUCAAGGCAGUGGAAUUCCAAGUUUUCUCUUUCUCUUAUUCAGCAUGGUUUCAUCCAGUCUAAAGCUGAUUACUCUCUUUUUACGAAGGGCACAGGAGAUAACUUUGUAGCCUUAUUGGUGUAUGUUGAUGAUAUAGUCAUUGCAGGGCCUAACAUGCAGGUUAUUAAAGAAUUGAAGGAAUACUUGCACUCUCAAUUCAAACUCAAGGAUUUGGGCUGUUUAAAAUUUUUCUUGGGAAUUGAAAUUGUGCGAGCAGCAUCAGGAAUUAUCAUUUCACAGAGGCAAUAUACAUUACAAAUGAUUGAAGAUGCCGGCUAUUUGGAUUGCAAACCAGUUAGCAGUCCCAUGGAUCCAAAGGUUGUUCUUAGCUCACUUGAUGGAGAAUUGCUGUCAGAUGCAUCCCAAUACAGGAGGCUCAUUGGAAGAUUGAUUUACUUAACUCUCACUCGACCGGAUAUUACAUUUGCGGUACACAAGUUGAGCCAAUUUAUGUCUCAACCAAGAUUACCUCAUCUCAAGGCCGUUCAUCACCUUCUUCGCUAUUUGAAAGGAAGUCCUGGCCAAGGUCUUUUUUUUUCUUCUAAUUCAUUGUCAGGUUCAGAUUCCCUCAUCAAACUUCAGGCUUUUUCUGAUGCUGACUGGGGAUCCUGUGUUGAUACACGAAAAUCCACUACUGGCUUUUGCAUUUUCAUUGGUGAUUCACUAGUUUCUUGGAAGUCUAAGCGUCAACCAACCAUUUCUCGUUCUUCAGCAGAGGCAGAAUACCGGGCUCUUGCAGCAACAGUCAGUGAGCUCACUUGGAUAAAUCAAUUAUUGGUGGAUUUUCAGGUCGCCAACACUUCACCAGCUAUAAUCUACUGUGAUAAUUUGGCUGCCAUUCAGAUUGCAAAGAAUCCAACUUUUCAUGAGCGAACAAAGCACAUUGAGAUCGAUCUUCAUUUCAUUCGUGACAAGAUCACCGCUGGGGCGAUUAAGAUCCUUCCGGUCAGAUCACAGCACCAGCUCGCUGAUGCCUUCACAAAGCC
rnacentral:lncRNA from 1 species